UACAGAGGUCUCAAGCGUUGUUCGGAUUCAUUGGGCGUAAAGGGUGCGUAGGCGGCGCGGUAAGUCGGGUGUGAAAUCUUGGAGCUUAACUCCGAAACUGCAUUCGAUACUGCCGUGCUUGAGGACUGGAGAGGAGACUGGAAUUUACGGUGUAGCGGUGAAAUGCGCAGAUAUCAGGAGGAACACCUGUGGUGUAGACGGCUUUCUGGACCAUAACUGACGCUGAGGCACGAAAGCGUGGGUAGCAAACAGG
rnacentral:rRNA from 1 species